AUCUAUACGGUGAAACUGCGAAUGGCUCAUUAAAUCAGUUAUCGUUUAUUUGAUAGUACCUUACUACAUGGAUACCUGUGGUAAUUCUAGAGCUAAUACAUGCUAAAAACCUCGACUUCGGAAGGGGUGUAUUUAUUAGAUAAAAAACCAAUGCCCUUCGGGGCUCCUUGGUGAAUCAUAAUAACUUAACGAAUCGCAUGGCCUUGCGCCGGCGAUGGUUCAUUCAAAUUUCUGCCCUAUCAACUUUCGAUGGUAGGAUAGUGGCCUACCAUGGUGGCAACGGGUAACGGGGAAUUAGGGUUCGAUUCCGGAGAGGGAGCCUGAGAAACGGCUACCACAUCCAAGGAAGGCAGCAGGCGCGCAAAUUACCCAAUCCCGAUACGGGGAGGUAGUGACAAUAAAUACUGAUACGGGGCUCUUUUGGGUCUCGUAAUUGGAAUGAGUACAAUUUAAAUACCUUAACGAGGAACAAUUGGAGGGCAAGUCUGGUGCCAGCAGCCGCGGUAAUUCCAGCUCCAAUAGCGUAUAUUAAAGUUGUUGCAGUUAAAAAGCUCGUAGUUGAACCUUGGGUCUGGCUGGCCGGUCCGCCUCACCGCGAGUACUGGUCCGGCUGGACCUUUCCUUCUGGGGAACCUCAUGGCCUUCACUGGCUGUGGGGGGAACCAGGACUUUUACUGUGAAAAAAUUAGAGUGUUCAAAGCAGGCCUUUGCUCGAAUACAUUAGCAUGGAAUAAUAGAAUAGGACGUGCGGUUCUAUUUUGUUGGUUUCUAGGACCGCCGUAAUGAUUAAUAGGGAUAGUCGGGGGCGUCAGUAUUCAGCUGUCAGAGGUGAAAUUCUUGGAUUUGCUGAAGACUAACUACUGCGAAAGCAUUCGCCAAGGAUGUUUUCAUUAAUCAGGGAACGAAAGUUAGGGGAUCGAAGACGAUCAGAUACCGUCGUAGUCUUAACCAUAAACUAUGCCGACUAGGGAUCGGGCGGUGUUUCUAUGAUGACCCGCUCGGCACCUUACGAGAAAUCAAAGUUUUU
rnacentral:rRNA from 1 species